ACUUCGGUCUGAGUAAAGUGGCGCACGGGUGAGUAACGCGUGGAUAAUCUGCCCUUAUGAUUGGAAUAACAGUUGGAAACGGCUGCUAAUACCGGAUACGCUCAAAAUGAACUUUUUGAGGAAAGAUGGCCUCUGCUUGCAUGCUAUCGCAUAAGGAUGAGUCCGCGUCCCAUUAGCUUGUUGGCGGGGUAACGGCCCACCAAGGCAACGAUGGGUAGCCGAUUUGAGAGGAUGAUCGGCCACACUGGAACUGAAACACGGUCCAGACUCCUACGGGAGGCAGCAGUGGGGAAUAUUGCGCAAUGGGCGAAAGCCUGACGCAGCGACGCCGCGUGAGGGAUGAAGGUUUUCGGAUCGUAAACCUCUGUCAGAAGGGAAGAAACUACGUUGUGCUAAUCAGCAGCGUACUGACGGUACCUUCAAAGGAAGCACCGGCUAACUCCGUG
rnacentral:rRNA from 1 species